AUGCAACGCGAAAACCUUAACCACCUUUGUACAUGUACGGAAGUUAGUCCAGAGAUGGCUUCGUGCUCGAAGAGGAGCCGUAACACAGGUGCUGCAUGGCUGUCGUCAGCUCGUGUCGUGAGAUGUUGGGUUAAGUCCCGCAACGAGCGCAACCCUUGUCAUUAGUUGCUACGAAAGGGCACUCUAAUGAGACUGCCGGUGACAACCGGAGGAAGGUGGGGAUGACGUCAAGUCCUCAUGGCCCUCAUAGGUGGGGCUACACACGUCAUACAAUGGCUGGUACAAAGGGUUGCCAACCCGCGAGGGGGAGCCAAUCCCAUAAAGCCAGUCGUAGUCCGGAUCGCAGUCUGCAACUCGACUGCGUGAAGUCGGAAUCGCUAGUAAUCGUGGAUCAGCAUGUCACGGUGAAUACGUUCCCGGGUCUU
rnacentral:rRNA from 1 species